GAUGAACGCUGGCGGCGUGCCUAAUACAUGCAAGUCGAGCGAACAGAUGAGGAGCUUGCUCCUCUGACGUUAGCGGCGGACGGGUGAGUAACACGUGGAUAACCUACCUAUAAGACUGGGAUAACUUCGGGAAACCGGAGCUAAUACCGGAUAAUAUAUUGAACCGCAUGGUUCAAUAGUGAAAGACGGUUUUGCUGUCACUUAUAGAUGGAUCCGCGCCGCAUUAGCUAGUUGGUAAGGUAACGGCUUACCAAGGCAACGAUGCGUAGCCGACCUGAGAGGGGGAACGGCCACAGUGGAAGGGAAAAACGGUCCAGACCCGCACGGGAGGCAGCAGUAGGGAAGCGUCGGAAAGGGGCGAAAGCCUGACGGAGCAACGGCGGGUGGGUGAAGAAGUGUUUCGGACGGUAAAACUCGGUUAGGAGGGAAAAACAAAUGUGUAAGGAACGAAGCAUGUCUUGACGGAACCGAUAAAGAAAGCCAGGGCAAACCAGGG
rnacentral:rRNA from 1 species